rnacentral:rRNA from 1 species
UACGUAGGGUCCGAGCGUUGUCCGGAAUUAUUGGGCGUAAAGGGCUCGUAGGCGGUUUGUCGCGUCGGGAGUGAAAACCUACAGCUUAACUGUGGGCUUGCUUUCGAUACGGGCAGACUUGAGGCAUGCAGGGGAGAACGGAAUUCCUGGUGUAGCGGUGAAAUGCGCAGAUAUCAGGAGGAACACCGGUGGCGAAGGCGGGUCUCUGGGCCGAUAUUGACGCUGAGGAGCGAAAGCGUGGGGAGCGAACAGG